GGGGAUUUGGCUCAGUGGUAGAGCGCUUGCCUAGGAAGCGCAAGGUCCUGGGUUCGACCCCCAGCCCCG
rnacentral:tRNA from 1 species